rnacentral:rRNA from 1 species
GUCGAGCGGUAACAGGGGUAGCUUGCUACCCGCUGACGAGCGGCGGACGGGUGAGUAAUGCAUAGGAAUCUGCCCGAUAGUGGGGGAUAACCUGGGGAAACCCAGGCUAAUACCGCAUACGUCCUACGGGAGAAAGGGGGCUCCGGCUCCCGCUAUUGGAUGAGCCUAUGUCGGAUUAGCUAGUUGGUGAGGUAAAGGCUCACCAAGGCGACGAUCCGUAGCUGGUCUGAGAGGAUGAUCAGCCACAUCGGGACUGAGACACGGCCCGAACUCCUACGGGAGGCAGCAGUGGGGAAUAUUGGACAAUGGGCGAAAGCCUGAUCCAGCCAUGCCGCGUGUGUGAAGAAGGCCCUCGGGUUGUAAAGCACUUUCAGCGAGGAAGAACGCCUAGUGGUUAAUACCCAUUAGGAAAGACAUCACUCGCAGAAGAAGCACCGGCUAACUCCGUGCCAGCAGCCGCGGUAAUACGGAGGGUGCAAGCGUUAAUCGGAAUUACUGGGCGUAAAGCGCGCGUAGGUGGCUUGAUAAGCCGGUUGUGAAAGCCCCGGGCUCAACCUGGGAACGGCAUCCGGAACUGUCAAGCUAGAGUGCAGGAGAGGAAGGUAGAAUUCCCGGUGUAGCGGUGAAAUGCGUAGAGAUCGGGAGGAAUACCAGUGGCGAAGGCGGCCUUCUGGACUGACACUGACACUGAGGUGCGAAAGCGUGGGUAGCAAACAGGAUUAGAUACCCUGGUAGUCCACGCCGUAAACGAUGUCGACCAGCCGUUGGGUGCCUAGCGCACUUUGUGGCGAAGUUAACGCGAUAAGUCGACCGCCUGGGGAGUACGGCCGCAAGGUUAAAACUCAAAUGAAUUGACGGGGGCCCGCACAAGCGGUGGAGCAUGUGGUUUAAUUCGAUGCAACGCGAAGAACCUUACCUACUCU